CCUCCGAACCGGGGAUCGAUCCCGCGGUCGUAGAGUUGAAGGCAAACGCAAUAACCACUAUACCAUGCGGGG
rnacentral:tRNA from 1 species